rnacentral:rRNA from 1 species
UACAGAGGGUGCUAGCGUUGUUCGGAAUCAUUGGGCGUAAAGGGCGUGUAGGCGGUUUGUUAAGUCAUGUGUGAAAUCCCUCGGCUCAACCGGGGAACGACGCAUGAAACUGGCAAGCUAGAGUACCAAAGAGGGGGGUGGAAUUCCCGGUGUAGCGGUGAAAUGCGUAGAUAUCAAGAGGAACACCUGAGGUGAAGACGGGUUGCUGGGCUGACACUGACGCUGAGGCGCGAAAGCCAGGGGAGCGAACGGG